CAUAUUAUCAAGUGAGAACCUUGAAGGCCGAGGUGGAGAAGGGUUCCAUGGGAACAGCAGUUGACCAUGGGUCAGGCGGUCCUAAGUGAUCCGGUAAAUCGGAACAGAGACGGGGUGCCUGACAUUGUCCGUUCGCGGGCUUUGUUCAGUAAUCUGCAAAGUACUGUUGCAUUGCAGCCCCCUGUAGCGAAAGGGAAUCGGGUUAAUAUUCCCGACCCUGUCCACGGAGAUUGGUGUGUGUCGGGCCUUUGGUUCAGCGUGCGCCCAGCGCGGUAACGCAACCGACCUCGGAGACAUCGGCGAGUUCUGGGAAGAGUUCUCUUUUCUUUGUUAGGAGUGCAUCCACCCUCUGGAAUCGGCUUGUCCGGAGAUAGGGGGCUAGCCUCCGUAAAGCACCACCCUUCUUGUGGUGUCGAUCGUGGGCGGUUUCAGCUGUUAGUGUCGUACAGCUAGCAACGCGCGAGGACAUGUUC
rnacentral:ncRNA from 1 species